rnacentral:rRNA from 1 species
UACGUAGGGAGCGAGCGUUGUCCGGAUUCAUUGGGCGUAAAGAGCUCGUAGGCGGCUUGGCAAGUCGGGUGUGAAAACUCCAGGCUCAACCUGGAGACGCCACCCGAUACUGCCAUGGCUAGAGUCCGGUAGGGGACCACGGAAUUCCUGGUGUAGCGGUGAAAUGCGCAGAUAUCAGGAGGAACACCGAUGGCGAAGGCAGGUCUCUGGGCCACUACUGACGCUGAGAAGCGAAAGCAUGGGGAGCGAACAGG